GCGGAAGUGACAGGGCAGCCGUGCCGGGGGCUCGGGCGGCGGGGGGUCCGGCGGGGGCAGGGCCAGCUCCUGCCGCAGCUCCUCGUCGAUCUCCUCCUCCAGCCGCACCAGGGUGGGCGCCGCCACGCCGAAGCGCCAGGCUCGGCGGCCCAGCUCCAGCAAGCACAGCACCACGUUCUUCACGUUCUUGCGUCGCACCAGCUCACCUCCAAUAUCCAGCGGACUUCUGGAACUCCACCCUCAGCCCACAGAUACCCAGGCAAGGUUGAGUAUAGGCUCUGGAGACUGCCUGAUUUAGGGUCCCGAUGCUCCCACCCAGCAGCUGUGUGUCCUUGGACUACUCCCUGAGCCUCAGUCUCCUACUCCGUAAAGUGGGGUGUAGACUAUUUCAUCUGGUUGCUGUGAAGACAGUUAAGUGUCUGCAGACAAGAUCUGGCUACAAGGGGAGUGCUGGAUCUACUGUGUGAUGGGGAAACUGAGGCACGAAAAGAGGGGAGCUGGCCAAAAGCCAAAGAGGAAAGAGGAUCCUGGCUCCUGACUUCCAAUGCAGCCUGAGCCUCAGAGAGGAAGUGGAUGUCUGGUGCCUCAGUCAGGAAGGCCAGGGCAGCCUCAGUGAUGGCAUUGGCGUGCCGGCACAGCACCAGGCCUGUCUCCAGGACCUGCAGGAAGUUGGCCGCGUCGAUGUCCAGCCCGUAGAGAUCCCGAAGCCACUCGGCCAGGUCCUCCUUCAUGGCUUCCAGGGCGCGGCUUCCAGGGAGAAAAGCAGGGCCAAAGGUUGCUGAGCCCCUCGGUAUUUAGUGAGCACUGUAAGGGGAUGAAAGAGACACAGCGGUAGAGCUGAACACCUGACUUCAGCCUGGACCCUUCUCUGUGAUUUUCUUUCAAUUAUUUUUGAAAGGCAUCAAGACCGUGAUUCUUAUGUCCAUUUCAUGGAUGAGGGAACAAGAAAAUUGAAGAGGGCAGAAGGCCUUGCUUCCUUCCGAUGCAGACCUCUCCAUAGGGUUCUUGGGUGUCCUGGCCAAGUGGCAUCCAGUCUUCCCCAGGGUGAGAGAGCAAGACAGAAGCCACGCUGUCGUCAUUACCCAGCCUGGAAAGUCACACUGUCAUAUCCACAAUAUCCUAUUGUCACCCGGGUCGGCCUCACUUCACGAGGGAGGGCAGUACGAACACGAAUACUGGGAGCCAGGGAUCACUGGGAGCUUUCCUAUCCCAGUACAGAAGAGCUAGUUCUUUUUUCUUGCAAGCUAAUAAAAUCCUAUUACGUUCAGGUAGUAGGGUGAGCUUCCCUGAAACUGGGGAAGAUGGGCCCAGUCCCAGAAGAGGAACUGCAAUAGGUUCACGUCAAUCACAGCAGAGCUAAGGUUGAGGUUUCUGUUGAGCCUCCAAGAUGCUGUGGAAGCAGCAAACCAAAAAAGGAACAAGACUCUAUGCAGACUUAUGGAAGCAGUAUCCAAAAGCUGUCACUUGACUCUCAGGUCUCUCUCUCACUAGAGUACGUCAAGAGUUAGGUUGUUGCAGGGCAGGAGAGGACUUAGAAUUGUAGCUGUGCUGUGCCUCUCAUGACAGGCCAAAUGAUGGCCCCAGAGACAGCUGCGUCCUAAUGCCCAGAACCCAUAAAUGGCACCUUAUGUGGCAAAAGGGACUUUGCAGAUGUGGUUAAGGAUCUCGAGAUGGGGAGAUACUCCAGAUUGUCCAGGUGGACCUUAAAUGUAAUCACAGGUGUGGGGCAGAGGGUGGUCUGAGCACAGAUUAGGAGAUGUGACAGCUGAAGCAGACUGAGUGCGCCACGAGCCAGGCACCCUGCAGCCUCUAGAAGUUGGAAGAAACAAGGAGCAGAUUCUCCCGUGGAGUCUCCAGAAAGAGUCAGCCCUGCCAAUACCUCGAUUUUAUUCCUGUGAAGUUCAUUUCAGACUUCUGACCUUUAGAACUGCAAAAGAAUAACUGUUGUUUUAAGCCACUGCAUUUGGUGGUACUUUGUUACAGCAGCAACAGGAAACUAAUGCCUGUCACCAUCUCUCUCCUCUCCCACCAAACAAGGGGAGAAGCGGAGAGAGGCACAGGACCUAUCAUAGAACUAGACGUUUAUCCCCAAUCACUAGGGAGACUCAGUGACCUGAAGUCUGACUCCGGAGUGGGACAUCGAAAAUGCAAACUGUAGGCUGGCUAGCUGCUCCAUAGUGGGGACUAAAGAGAGGGCUGCACUGGAAUCAGGAAGCAGUCUUCUCAUAGGUGGAACAGAGGAUGGGUGAGUGCUCCUGUGUGCCACUCGGCCAGGGACAGGGUCAGUAGAGGGGAAGACCUCAGUAGAGGGGGAGCUGGCAGUGGACCAGUGGAUUCCUAGGUGUGCAGGGCGGGGGGAUGAGUGACCCCCAGAAUCCAGUUUAUCCUCCUAGAUCCAAGGGACUGCCUGGAUUGGGGCAGGAAAGGCAAACACCAGUGGUUGGUCAGUGGAGAAGGAAGGAGAGGCAGAGCAAGAGGGAGGAAGGACCCGACCAUGUCUUCCACCUGUCACCCCAUCACAUUGUUGCUACCAGUCAUGGAAGGCCCCAACCUUCCAUGGAGAUGUAACAUUGUAUCAACUUUCAGUGACUACAGUGACUGCUUUUCCAUGGCCUGGGAGUUCUCUGAACAAGUCAUAAGACCUGUCUGAACUGUCCUUAAGGGACAAGGGAAAGAAGCUUUCUUCCCCUUGAGCAGGUUUAAGGGGACUAUUGGAGGCCAAAAAAAAAAAAAAAAAAAAAAAGUUGUUUUAUAGCUAUACUCCAAGAGUCCUACAGGUACCAAUUACAGCCAAGCUAGGUCAAUCUUAGCCAUCCUAUUUCUUUUCUUAAAUGAUUGGUUUAGGAUGGGUGUGUAUCUUGUGUCUAUCCAGUGAGUCUCAAAGAGAAGUCUGCUGGAGGGCUUCUAAGAAGUCCCUGGACUGUGGAGACUUUCUGCUUUGGUCAUGGUUGCACCAGGACACGAUGCUUGGAGCUGCAGCAGCUAUUUUGCAACCAAGAAGAAAGACAAAGAAGGCAGAAGGGAAAUAUGAAGAGAUGCCUGGGUCCCUAACAACCUCUUCAAGCUGAACCAAUCCUGGAGCCUCCAACCUCAGACUUCUUAAGUGAACUAAUACAUUUUAUAAGGUUUCAGCCAUUAUUAUUGGGCCACUCUCAUAUUCCAGCAAUUAAAUAUAUCCUAACUGACAUGAUGUUUAAAGAGUAAGAGGCCCCAUUCAUUUUAUAUGAAGUCUUGUUAUAUAUACUCCCACUUGGGAGCCCUUAUAUACCAUGAUAUCAGGUAUUUCUUCUUGUAACUUAACUAUUGCUCAACUAAAAUGAAUACAGCAUCUCUGUAUUAUACCUGGUUAUUACAAGUUAAUGAGCUGUAUGCACUAUUAAUUUACAAAUUAAAAUCUAAAAAAGUACAAAAAUUAUAGCUUUAGGGGCACCCGGGUGGCUCAGUCAGUUAAGCAUCUGACUCUUGAUCUCAGAUCAAGUCUUGAUCUCAGGGUUGUGAGUUCAAGCCCCAUGUUGGGUUCCAGGCUCAGAAUGGAGGCUACUUUAAAAAAAAAAAAGAUAACUUUUGACACUUGAUCUCAUUUUGUUCUCUAGAUUUCUGUGAAUGGUAGAAAAUAAUGCUUGUAUAGCCAAUAAAAUGUAACUCAUUCUC